AAGUCGUAACAAGGUUUCCGUAGGUGAACCUGCGGAAGGAUCAUUAACACGAAUAUCCAUUAUUCAAACCCACCGUGAACCAUUCUCCUCCCGAGCCUGAUAGAUGAUUGGGUAAAACUAUUCAAUAUCAUGGACUUGGCUACCAUUACUAUUCAUUCAAUUCAUUUGAAUGAAUCUUAAUAUCUUAUUAACAAACCCCAAUCAUAUAAAUUGAAACUUAUUGCUUUGUUUGUGUUCUUCAUUGAAUUCAAUCAAAUCAAUUCAUCAACACACUAAAAAAACCAUCAUAUAUCUUAAUUGAUUGUAUGUUGUUGUUUUUUUAUUUCUAUUACGAAAUUUACGUAUAGUUUAUAAAACAACUCUUAACAAUGGAUAUCUUGGUUCUC
rnacentral:misc_RNA from 1 species